CUGUUACUCCCUCCGUCCGAAAAUACUUGUCCUACAGAUGAAUAAAAUGAAUGUAUCUAAAACUAAAAUAAGUCUAGAUACAUCCAUUUCUAGGACAAGUAUUUCCAGACGGAGGGAGUACUAC
rfam:Triticum aestivum genome assembly, contig: Triticum_aestivum_CS42_TGACv1_scaffold_579010_7BL